UACAGAGGGUGCGAGCGUUAAUCGGAAUUACUGGGCGUAAAGCGUGCGUAGUCGGUUAUCUAAGUCGGAUGUGAAAUCCCCGGGCUCAACCUGGGAAUUGCAUUCGAUACUGGAUAGCUAGAGUUCGGCAGAGGGAAGUGGAAUUUCGGGUGUAGCGGUGAAAUGCGUAGAUAUCCGAAGGAACAUCAGUGGCGAAAGCGACUUCCUGGACCAGAACUGACGAUCAGGCACGAAAGCGUGGGGAGCAAACAGG
rnacentral:rRNA from 1 species